UCCCUUUUUACUUGCUCUAACAUUUUUUGCUUUUUGGCUUUUUCGUUUCAUCUUGGCAUAUUUACUACUCAUUCUUUUAAGCUGGCUCUACCUGAUUUCUGUUUCAUUGGCUCAUACACACUAUUUCAGGCAAUAUUCGUUACAGAUGUUAUUAAAGUCAUCAAAAGUAUCCAAGCAAUUGAGAAGACAAACAGAUGAUAGAGCCAUCUAGAAAACGACCAAAAAUCAGCUACAGUCCAAAGAACCAUCAAAAAAAGAAAAGUAAAAAAUUUAAUGUAAUGUACAAACCUUUUUACUAGACCG